rnacentral:rRNA from 1 species
AGGACUAACGCUGGCGGCGUGCCUAACACAUGCAAGUCGAACGAAGUAGCAAUACUUAGUGGCAGACGGGUGAGUAACACGUAGUCAACCUGCCCUUCAAUGGGGGAUAACUAGCCGAAAGGUUAGCUAAUACCGCAUACGAUCUCUGAGUGGCAUCACUCGGCGAUGAAAGGAGUAAUCCGUUGAAGGAGGGGACUGCGUCCCAUUAGUUAGUUGGUGGGGUAAUGGCCUACCAAGACUCCGAUGGGUAGCUGGCUUGAGAGAGCGACCAGCCACACUGGAACUGAGACACGGUCCAGACUCCUACGGGAGGCAGCAGUGAGGAAUUUUCCGCAAUGGGGGAAACCCUGACGGAGCGACGCCGCGUGUGGGAAGAAGGCCUUCGGGUCGUAAACCACUGUCGAGGGGGACGAGUAUUGACGGUACCCCUGGACGGAAGCCCCGGCUAACUACGCGCCAGCAGCCGC